CCUACGGGAGGCAGCAGUAAGGAAUAUUGGUCAAUGGACGCAAGUCUGAACCAGCCAUGCCGCGUGGAGGAUGAAGGUCCUCUGGAUUGUAACUUCUUUUAUCUGGGACGAAACACUCCUUUUCUAAGGGGCCUGACGGUACCAGAUGAAUAAGCACCGGCUAACUCCGUGCCAGCAGCCGCGGUAAUACGGAGGGUGCGAGCGUUAUCCGGAUUCACUGGGUUUAAAGGGUGCGUAGGUGGGUAUGUAAGUCAGUGGUGAAAUCCCCGAGCUUAACUUGGGAACUGCCGUUGAUACUAUAUAUCUUGAAUGUCGUAGAGGUAAGCGGAAUAUGUCAUGUAGCGGUGAAAUGCUUAGAGAUGACAUAGAACACCAAUUGCGAAGGCAGCUUGCUAUGCGAUUAUUGACACUGAGGCACGAAAGCGUGGGUAGCAAACAGGAUUAGAUACCCUGGUAGUCCACGCCCUAAACUAUGGAUACUCGACAUACGCGAUACACUGUGUGUGUCUGAGCGAAAGCAUUUAAGUAUCCCACCCUGGGAAGUACGACCGCAAGGUUGAAAC
rnacentral:rRNA from 1 species